UCUCCACUAAAGGUUCGGGUGAACCAGUCAGAACCAGCUGAAUACCACCUCUGAUGCAAAUGCGAGUAGAUAAAUGGGUACCACUUCGGUGGGAAGGUAACAGCAUGAUGUCACAUUACCACAGAAAUAUCUUUGGACAGUGCUGGUUCAAGGCCUUGAAACAGAGAUGAGCACUGCCCCCUGUACUCAGCAACCAAUGGAGUAAACUCCACAGGGAUUCCUACAGGAGGGUAAAAAAUACAGAUCCCUCCCCUGUAUCUCCAGCUCGCAGACAUGCGGAUUUACCGGUGUCGAUCAAGGCUUAUUUGGUAUGAGCAGAGUUCCCCAAAACAUUGAAGAAAGAACUCUGAAAGCUUUUACACCAUGGCGUUGGGAAGGAGGAAAAUUGCAAAUUUCCUGGGACAUAAAAUCAUGCCAAUGAGAUCCAGUCAGUAUAACUUUGAUGAGGCAGUAAAGAUUGGCGUUGGCAGGCCAGUCAGAAGAUGCUGUAAAUCUCAGCUGAAUUCUAAUUCCUAUUCUCUAAAUAUGGGUUUUAAAACAUUUAUUCUGCAGUCCUCUCUGUAAUCUAGCAGAAUUGGAACUAGGGGGGAAAGCUAGCGUGUGCAUAAGGAAGAAAUCGACAAAAUCAUGACUGUCAUUUCAGAACAACUGAAAUGGACCACAGUUCUAUUGAAGUGAUGAUGAUGAUGAUGAUGAUGAUGAUGAUCUUCUGAGCAAUGUCAUCAGAGUUGCAUUUACAGAAAGUAAAUCCUAACAAUUUGACUUCCGUGGAACCUUACUUCAUACUUAAGUGGUCAGUAGAGCGGGGCGUGCAUAAGUGCACUAACAUGCCUAUCGUCCCUUGUCAUUGUAUUUUUAUUCUCUUAUUCUUGUUCUCGUUUUUGUUUUCGACAAAUUCCAAUAAAUUAAUUAAUUAAAUAAAUAAAAUAAAAUUUGAGGAGUGCGGAAUCUCCUUCUGCUGGAGAUUUGGCUUCCUCCACCCAUGCCAGCUCACCCUUUGAGGAUGGCAGAAUCCAAGGAUGACUUGCUGCACGCGUGCUAUCCUGAACCCAAGACCGAGGUCAAACCUUUACGUAUAACUCCAAAAUGCCUUGCAUUGUAACAACUCACUCAUGUUGAGCAGCAAAUGGGGGGAGGGGAAGGGGAGAGCAUAAAUGGGGAGCGGGGAGUGGGGUUUAGAGAUGUGAGCACGGUUUUAGUUAUUUGUCCCCGGCCUGAUGCUUUUUUCCACGCAGACUGAAUCGCAACGGGGAGGGGAAGAGGUGAGCUGUGGUUUCCCACAGCAGAAGACUGGGCACUAUGCAAUAUUUGCAGCCGUUUAAUAGGACCUGAGUUUAAUUUUUUUUUUAAACAAACAAACAAACAUGGUUUUUGUAUUCAUUUUUAAUCCGUCGCUUCUCUCAAAACUCUCAGGAGAAAGCUUGGAGAUUUUGAAAAGGGUGUCUCCCCACAUCCCUCUUCUUUUCUUUUCUUUGGUCUUUUUUUAUUUUUUUUAUUUUUUUGCUUUUGUGAAAUCAGUGCAAUAAAUAAAGAAAUAAACUUGAACCAUUGCAAAACCGGUAUCUACUACCACUGGCAUGAAGUCCCAGUUGCUUCUAGCGGUAACUUCUGCUGCUGUUAGUCAACGUAACAAUAUCAUCUUCACACAUGGUACUGUUUCAUGUUUGAGUAAUAACAUUAAAUCCCCCCUACCCCCAAAGAAUGUCAGAUAGGGUUGUGUUGUUGUUGUUUUGCAGUUAUGGAUAGAACAGGUCCAAUAGGAUCUCUCUGGUGGUCCAAGCUGUUAGUAUCCCUGAGAUAGGAACUGUGCUUCUGACAUCUUAACAAGUCCAUGCAAAGUUGACAAUGUUUUCAUGAGUUUACAAUCCUGCUUUACACACACAUAUCUUCUUCAGCCUUAUGGGGGGGAAUGUCUCCAGAACUGCAUUUUGUAGGAUGUCUGUGUCAACCGUGUGCAAUUUACCUGCAGAAGUAUAUAUAGCCAUGUGUGUGAAGUAAACCUCAGUUCGGAUUAAGGUCACGUGUAUAUUUCCUGCCUGGAGUGAGUACAUGUUGCGCACUUGGAAAUCAAGCAAUGAAUGUGCAUGCAUGUGUUUGUGCAUAAGUCACACACCAGAAAUAAGUGAAUAAACCUUUUGCAAGCCAUUAGUAAGUCAUGUGCAAAGCAUGAGUAGACAAUGUGAUAGUCGCGAGGAAGUCAUGUUCAAUUUGCAAGUUCAUCACAAGCAAUUAAUGUAAAGCAUGAGAAAUCAGUGAGUAAAGCAGGUGUUAAACCAUGAGUAAAGCAUGUGUUAACUAUGUGUGACAUUUAACUUUUUGAACAAUUCUGUGUACACUUUCGUGCCAAUCACAGUUACUCUCUUCCAAAAAAAAUGUGUCUCACGUGCUAAGCAUGUGAAUACCAAGUGCAAAAAUUACUUAAAUAUAUGUGUCAACCAUGUGUCAACCCAUGUCUACACCAUGUGUAAGUCACAUGAAAAUCCACAUGUAAUACAUGUCAGUACUAAUUAAAACAUACACACACGAGCCAAUAUUUGCUCAUAGUGAUGGAAGUGUAUUAUGAUUUUCAAUCAUUAUGCCUUGUACCAGAACAACAUAUCUUGGCUAUUAUCCUCAAGUUAUUAUUCUUUUAGUUAACUGGUGUUUUCAAAUCAAGCCACGAGAUUUUCUCAGUCUAUAUCUGAGCAGCAGGUACACAUUCUAAAGUUCUGGAAUGUGUCAAGACCAUGUACAUUUCUAAUGCCCAUGUGAAAUAAGAAUCUUCUACAAAAAAAAAAGAAGAAGUUGCAAACCAUGUAUAAACUAUGUGUAAACAAGGCAUUAACUUUGUGUAAAGCACUUGUAAACACUGUGUAAAGUGCAUGCCGGACAAAGUGCAAAACUCAUUAAAAAGCAUAUGCAAAUUCAUUAUAAAGCACAGGCAGACCAAAGUGUGAACUUGGCGUAGAUCACGUGAAAAAGCUCUGUAAAAGCAUGUGUAAGCAGAGUGCAACUAUUUGCCAACUAUCACACCAUGUCAAGUAUGUGCAAAAGAAAAAAACAAAAAAAAAUAUGGAUGUAAAUGAUUUGUGAAGCACAUGUAAGCCAAAUGUAAAAUAGUUGUAAAGUGUGUGUGUGUGCUGCAGAGAGUCUGGCGUUUUGCAAACCAGAUGUAAACAAUUCAUUAAGCAUGUCGAAACAGAGUGUAAACUCUAUGGAAAGCAUGUGGAAAGUCAUUGUUAGCUGGGCAUAAACACUGGGUAUUAUAACCCCGAGAAAGUUGUUAAAAUGCUGUUUGGACAAGAUGGUUUCAAUAGAGUUGCAAACUCUCCCCCUUAUGUUUAUGUAAACCAAAUGUAAUCUUUUUGGAAUAAGAGUAUGCAAACAAGGAUGCAAACCUAUCUUGCAAAAUAGGAAGGGAUGGUAAAAGGUGAAUCUCCAGGCUUUACACAGACUUUACACCUUGUCUGCACAUGUGACUAUUUGUGCAAACCACUAAUUUACAGUAGUAUGCACCGUAUCAAACCUGUAAAACUUGAGGGAGGGAGAAUGUAUUAUUAUUUUCCACCUCCCUCCCCCGGGAAAGAGUGUGAGUGAUUUCUGAUGGAGUGGGUGGCCCAGAGCUGAGGUCUAUGCUCUUAGUUGCCAUCAGCAAUCAUCAGAGAAAGGAAGACUUGAUAUUUGGAGUUACAGGUAGUCCUUGACUUACAACAGUUCGUUUAUAGUGACCAUUCAAAGUUGCAACGGCACUGAAGAAAAAGUGACUUAUGUCCGUUUUUCACAACCAUGGCAGCAUCCCCAGGGUCAUGUGAUCAAAAUUCAGAUGCUUGGCCACUGGUUCAUAUUUAUGACGGUUGCACUGUCCCGGGGUCAUGCGAUCACCUUUUGCAACCCUUCUGACAAGCAAAGUCAACGGGAAGGAAGCCAGAUUCGCUUAAGAACCGUGUUACUAACUGAACAAGUGCAGUGAUUCACUUAAGAACGGUGGCCAGGAAGGUUGCAAAAUGGAGCAAAGCUCGCUUAACAACUGUCUGGCUUAGAAAUUUCAGCCGCAAUUGGCUGGUUGCAAGUCAAGGUCUACCUGUAUUCUCAUUCAUUCAUAUUCUCUCUCUCUCUCUCUCUCUCUCUCCCUCCCUCUCCCACUCCCUCUCUCUUUCUCCCUCUCAUUUAAAGAGCCACAUUUAAAACAGCCUUCUCCAACGUAUCGUCCUCCAGAAGGGCCAGGCUACAAGUCCAAUAAUGGGAAUUAUAGCCUGCUGUUUCUGGAAAGUGCCCAGUUGGGGAAAGUUUGGUUUAACUCUGCAUUGUUGAGUGAUUUUAGAGAGUAUCUUCUAUUAGAGGUAGAGCUUGUCACUUCCAUUACCACAAAGAUUCUGGAAUUAACAAUGGCCUGAUUAGGCAGAAGUCCAAGGGGUUCAGUUUCCCAGUGCAUCGAGAGGCAGAGAAAGGCCAGUUACUGUAUUUGCCUGUUACUCUAUGAAGGGCACCUUGAAGCAGGGAGAAAAGAUGGCAACUCACAAUUAGAAGCACAUGUAAUUAUUGAUAGCCACUAGUAAGUUGAUAGUCUUAGCAGAGAGCCCCUUAUCUAAGCAAGGGCAGGUCUGCUUCAGUUUGGGAUGGGGAGUCCUCGUUUCAGGUGGCCAACUCGCCACAGCCAUCUCGCCACAGCUAACUAGCCACGGGAGCUAACUAGCCAUAAGGCAACUCGCCACAGACAAUUCCACAUGGGAUAACCCACUACGAUACAUGUUAUCCGCCACUGAUAGUACAGUGGUUUAGUGCACCCUGUUAUUAACACCAGCUAUCUGCAAUUACUGUAAGUUCGAAUCUCUCCAAGGCUCAAGGUUGACUCAGCCUUCCAUCCUUUCUAAGGUAGGUGAAAUGAGGACCCAGUUUGUGGGGGCAAUAAGCUGACUUUGUAUAAAAUAUACAAAAGAAUGAAGGCUAUUGCUUAACGCAUUGUAAGCCGACCUGAGUCUCCGGAGAAGGGCGGCAUAUAAAUCAAAUUAAAAAAAAAACAAAAAACGAAAAAUGCAAAUAACGUCAAAGAAACAGCGGCAAAUAAAAUUUACCGGAAUCGUGUUGAGUUAUCCCACGUGGAAUUUUCCGUGGCAUGUUGUCCAUACAGUGAGUUGGCUAUGGCGAAUUGUCCCUUUCUGAUGUCAAACCACUAAGUAAAUUUAAUAAGCGAGUCCAUGAAGUGACCGAGAGUUGAGCUUUACUUGAAAAAAAAAUUUUUUUUAGAAAAUUGAUGAGGCCGUAAUAGGAAAGUUGAGAACUUUGUAGGCCUUUAUUGCUGAACCUCAACCACCCAUCUUCUUCACCAGCUCUUGUCUGAAUCUGUUAGGAGCUCUGAUUCAGCAGCAGCUCUGGAGUUCUAAGAUCUCCAACAAUUAUCAUUUGGCUGCCCUUGUUAGUCACAUGGAUAGUUGGAUUGAAGUCAUGGGAUGGACUUGCCUACCAGUGAGGAAGAAUGAAACAGAGGUGUGCAGAUGCUAUGGGAAACACCUCUACAGGUGAGACCAUUGGUCACCUGUCGCAAAACAUGCAGAAGGGUUGGAGAAAAACCUUGUGGAAACCCUUGUGAUAAUGUCAGAGAGAGAUAUAUAGUAGGAACCACUGUAAAUGAGCAAAGUGUUCUGGGAAAUAGAGCCAAAAAAAUAUGAUCCCCCCAUCCCUUUAGUCGCAGAGCCUCUGAUCGGAAAGCAUAAAUAGCAUAGCUGAGCAUGAGGCACACUAGACUUGAUCCUGCAGGAUAAACUCUCCUACGCCAUGUUCUACCAGCUGUUUAAAUGGCUAGGACCAUCUUCACAGCAAAGGAGGAAUCCUAUAUAAAGGACCUGGAUUUCAAGGCUACCAAUAUCUGGUCUGCAAAAUUUGCAGAUGACCAUCAGAAGAAAGCAAAGGGACACUCAGUGCCACCUUGUGAUUCUUCAGAGUUCUACAACCCAGAUACGGUAUGCCUAGUAGAUGAAAAGCAGAAGAAACCUGAUAUAGAAGGAAAGGCAGGGUAAAGAAGAGUCAACGCAGCAAGGUAGAAGUAGCAAACCAGGUUUGGUAAACUACCGAGCCAGGUGUAUAUAUAAUGGUUUUGUGAACACGGUCUUAAAAUGCAGUCAUUGGGCAGAUUCACAGAGGACGGAUCGGUGCCUAGUAAGGCAAGAAAACUAGGAAAUUGCAGUGAUAACCAGAGAUAGUAGAAGUUUCUACUCCAUGUAUCUUUACAACCUGGUUCUGAUAGCCCUAAAGUCUAUGGAGAUUCCUGCAUUAGAGGGUAGGGCAGAAGGGCAGCUGGACAGGGGUGGGGGCAUGUUAGUGGAUGCUGUACCUCAACACUAAACUAUAUAUAUAAAAAAGAGAAAAUAUUGUAAAAAAAAAAUACUUUUAUUGCAAGCAAAACGAACAAACCACCUUGUCUUCCAUCUCACGCAGGCCCCGCCAAGGGCCACCCCCAUUGUAGGGGAACCGUACCUCCCAUCCCAAAGGCGUGGGAUUCGAACACACCUCAAGCAAAGGGGCUCGAAUCCAACACCUAAAAGGGGAGGGAAACCUUGCGGAAGAAUUCCCGAGUCUCUGGGUUAUUUUUUUAAUUUAUUUAUUAUUUUUGCCAAAUCCAUGAGGGAAAAAAAAAAAUUACAAAUGAAAGUACUAAAAUAAUCCUUUUUUCAAUAAAAUCAUAGAAAAACCAUGAAA